ensembl:lncRNA
UUUUGCCAAGGACAAGCAAUUGUGUUGCGGUGCAAGUGAUAAUAAGAAGAUUCUGGUGAGAAAUUCCAGUUUCCACCGGUGCUGCGGGCACAACCAGUAUGAUAACAGGACUCAGUGCUGCUGUGAGAAUGAAGGUGUUCUGGAGGUACAACCGAAGGAUUCAUCUUGCUGUGACAAGAGCUCCACUACAGGAGUGCAUAAUGUAGGAAUUCUGCAUUGUGGUCCGAAUGAUAAUAAGAAGAGUCUGGUGAAGAAUUCCACUUUCCACCAGUGCUGCGGUCACCACCAGUAUGACAACAGGACUCAGUGCUGCUGUGAGAAUGAAGGUGUUCUGGAGGUACAACCGAAGCAUUCAUCUUGCUGUGACAAGAGCUCCACUACAGGAGUGCAAAAUGUGGGAAUUCUGCAUUGUGGUCCGAAUGAUAAUAAGAAGAGUCUGGUGAGGAAUUCCACUUUCCACCAGUGCUGCGGUCACCACCAGUAUGACAACAGGACUCAGUGCUGCUGUGAGAAUGAAGGUUUUCUGGAGGUACAACCGAAGCAUUCAUCUUGCUGUGCAAAGGAGUCAGCUAACCCUGAAGGUUUUCAACAACUGACACAUGAGCUCCAACACUUUUGCACUGAACCAAACACACAUCUCUGUGGGUCGACAUGUUACAAUCCAAAGACGCAUCGUUGCUGUGAGAGACACCAAAAGCCUUUUUGGUUCUGCGCCUCAGGUCAAAGCAAGGCCAGGGUGUAUGACCCACGUAUAGAAGUCUGCCGUGAUGGAUCCGUAUUUCAAUGCAAGCCGUGGCUAGAUCAAGUAAUGUACAAAUUGUUUUUUGGGUUUUUCUUUUCCUUUUCUGGGCCUGCCCAGCUGUUUGUGUUUUUUAAUCAGUGUAAAGUGCAAAGCUCAACAGUUUUAAUCUCCUUUUCUGUAGGAAAAUGAAAUCAAGCUUUCAAAUUAUGGCUAAAGCCUAAAGCACUGUUUCCUUAAAAAAACAAAAGGGAAAAACAUAUUAAUGGCAUUUUGGCGAGAUUUUUCAUUAAAGUUUUUGUUAUUAAAAAUGAAGGGCCUCAUGCUGCAAUGUUCAGUUUUACACAAAUAACUGACAGCAAUGGUACCUAGUGAUCCCAGACAAAAAAGGUUGUUUUUGUGCAGCUUCGAUGAGAGAGCUUAGAGCUCCACCCCGCUCCUCUUAUACAGUAACUGAGGGUGUUUUUCAAUCUGAUGUUUAAACUCGUCUAGCGGUGUUGGUUUUGGUUACCACUACUGCAAAAGGUCCAUAAAUCUGGUAAGACAAAAAAAAUUAGAUAUGUUAUGUGUGGAAAUGAGACCUGUGUAAUGUUUGAAUUGUUUCAACUUUUUGUUUUUUUCCUGAUUUUUGCAUUUCAUCUUCUUUUUGUAAAAACUCAUAAAUUUAUGUGUUCAUCCAUGUGCAUUUAAAUGCACAAAUAAAAGGGUUUGGCUGUUUGUGCAUUGUUGAGCAAUUUACUGCAUUAUUUCUGAUUCUUCAAGUGCUGUGUAUUGCUCAGCAUAACGUGGAGUUCUCUGUUGUAAUGACACCUUGUACGAGGGCAGAGAUGAUGGAGAGGAAUGUUCAGAGAUGUGUAUUCCUUACAAUCCGGCUAAAGGGACUCUAUGUUGUUCUCAGUUUUAUGGCAGCCCGGGACAACACUGCUGUGGGACGGAAAUUUACCGGCCUCGUACUGAGAUCUGCUGCAAUGGACACAGACACCCCAAAUCAGAAAACCUUCACUGCUGUGGGGUCAAAGCCUACAACAUUAAAGACCCACAGAUGAAGUGCUGUGCAGGAACACUGUACAAUCUGACAUCAUUAGACAAGCAUGGAGGGGACGCUCAGUGCUGCGGAUCCAUCCUGCAAAAGCCACAGGAUAUUUGCUGCUCAAGCCAGGAAAAAGAGGUGCUUUACUCUGUCAAGACAGGAUUUGGAUGCUGUGGUCACCUCUAUUACAACACCAGCCUGUGCUCAUGCUGUGCGGAGAGGCUGAGAAGAAUCCAUGAACCAGGAAAGGAUCAGAGAAACAUGAUGCAUGGAUCCAGACUUCUAUCUUUGAAUAAUCUAAACACAAGUGAUCUCUGCAAAGAAAUGUACAUUGGGACUGUGGAAAGUGUGUCUGUGAAGAGCGUUGUGUUCAGGAAUGUGCUAUGGGUUCAUGGGAAAUAUUCCAACGUGACAGCUCUGCCUUUGCAUCACAUCUUGGACAUAGAUGAUCACUGCAAAUCACCUAAACUGUUUCUUGGGAAGACCUACAUCUUUAACAACGUUAAUAUUUUCACUGAUUUCAACCAUGACUCUGUUCUUCAGUCGCUCCAUUUCAUUUUUUAUAAAUGUUCAUCUUAGAUCACCACUGUCUGAUCUAUGUAUGGUCAGUUAUUAGCUAUUCCCUUGUUUUUGUCUUAGAACAAGUAAUUAAUUUUUAUUUACUCAGUGCUGGUUUUCUUACUCUAAAAUAGUGCUACACUAAGAGUAAUGCAUAGGGGUUUUUUAUCCUCAGAAGAAUGUACUGUUAAAGUACUCAUUACAGGGAUGUUCUCUUACAUGGUCUAUUAACAAUAUAACACUGAACCUUAGAAAUGCCCAUUAAUUUGUAAAACUCUACCCUAAAAGGAAAGACCAUUGAAGCUUAACAUUUGGGCACUUUGCUGGUGUAAGCAUAAAAUCAAAGAACCAGCCAUAUUUCUAUCACACAUUUUAUUUUUACAUUAGUUAUUGUUGUGCAAGCACACAUGAAAAUGUUUUAAAAUGUGAUCUUUUUAAUCUUUUUGUUACCUAAAUAAUUGAAGAACAUGUAACUCAAUUGAAUUAAUUCAUUAACUGAAAUAUGUUUACUCAAUAAUGCAUUAUAGAAAAAAUUAACUUGAUUAGGGAUUGCAUUACUUUUCAACUGUUUAAAUUUAAAAAAUCCAGAAUUAGUUAUUAGUGAUAUUACUUACAAGUUGCUAUCAGUAAUGCAUUAAAUGUUCAACGCUCAUUUCCAUCCAAACCAUGUUGCUCUGUUUUUGAACGCAUCCCAAAAUGUGUGCUCGGUAAUUACUACUGUUACACAGCUAAUUAGUGCACAGUGUUGUUAACUUAUACAUGCAGUAAUGCAAUAUGACCAUUAUCUUUCAAAGUCUUAAAAAGCUAAAGUAGUAACUAGGAUAUCCAAGCUAGUGUUGGUUUGAAAUUAACAGUAGCUAACACCUUAGCUAUCAGUGUAACAGGAAGCAAGGCAUGCAAGAAUGUUAGCAUACAGCUUAACGGUCACAUAAGCUAAACUGCUAUCAGCUAAUAUUGUUUGUCAUUUGAAAUUUUUGUGACUGUUAUUUCUAUGCCUCUUUUUUGCACUGAACUAAAUUGUAAAUGGCAACUAUUUGCACUUUUUGAACCAUACAAUUGAAUGUAUAAAUGUACUGUAAAGCAUGAUUUAUUUGAAAGAUAAAGCUUGUAACUGUCAAAUGGUUAGUUGACAAUACCAUUAUUAUAAGCACCCCAGUUCUCACUGAUCCCUCUAAAAAUGCAAUAUUUCUGUUUCUUUGUAAGUACCUACUUUUAAUCACCUUGACCCAAGUUAUUUUUAUAUAUGUGACUUUCGGGAAGAUGUUUGGCAUUUAUUGUACUGUGUCUUUACUAAAUUGGUAAGAACAUACCUUUAAGCUACUAACAGGACAAGCUCAUGAUAUACAGUAUAUAUAUUAUAUAUUAUAUUGCAUGUUUAUAUUUAAUAUUUAAUAGCACCUCCUGUAUUAUUAAGUUUUAAAUAAAUAAGAAGAUAAGAAUAAUUGAAUGUGUGUGUGAUUUUUUUUAUUACUUUUAUUACUUAUUAUUUUAUUUAUUACUUUAUUACUUUUUAUUACAUAACAAUUUAUUGGACUAUAUAUACAUAACUAUUACUACAUUUUAUAUACACAUUGUUUAUUUGUAUAUUUGUAGAUAUUCAACAGAAUUAGAUAAUAAAUCAAUACUCUGUGCUU